rnacentral:rRNA from 1 species
GAUGAACGCUGGCGGCGUGCUUAACACAUGCAAGUCGAACGGAAAGGCUCCUGCUUGCAGGGGUACUCGAGUGGCGAACGGGUGAGUAACACGUGGGUGAUCUGCCCUGCACUUCGGGAUAAGCCUGGGAAACUGGGUCUAAUACCGGAUAGGACGAUGGUUUGGAUGCCAUUGUGGAAAGUUUUUCGGUGUGGGAUGAGCUCGCGGCCUAUCAGCUUGUUGGUGGGGUAAUGGCCUACCAAGGCGUCGACGGGUAGCCGGCCUGAGAGGGUGUACGGCCACAAUGGGACUGCGAUACGGCCCAGACUCCUACGGGAGGCAGCAGUGGGGAAUAUUGCACAAUGGGCGCAAGCCUGAUGCAGCGACGCCGCGUGGGGGAUGACGGCCUUCGGGUUGUAAACUCCUUUCGCUAGGGACGAAGCGCAAGUGACGGUACCUGGAGAAGAAGCACCGGCUAACUACGUG